rnacentral:rRNA from 1 species
GGGAAUUUUCCACAAUGGACGCAAGUCUGAUGGAGCAACGCCGCGUGAGUGAAGAAGGUCUUCGGAUCGUAAAGCUCUGUUGUUGGUGAAGAAGGAUAGAGGCAGUAACUGGUCUUUAUUUGACGGUAAUCAACCAGAAAGUCACGGCUAACUACGUGCCAGCAGCCGCGGUAAUACGUAGGUGGCAAGCGUUGUCCGGAUUUAUUGGGCGUAAAGCGAGCGCAGGCGGAAUGAUAAGUCUGAUGUGAAAGCCCACGGCUCAACCGUGGAACUGCAUCGGAAACUGUCAUUCUUGAGUGCAGAAGAGGAGAGUGGAACUCCAUGUGUAGCGGUGGAAUGCGUAGAUAUAUGGAAGAACACCAGUGGCGAAGGCGGCUCUCUGGUCUGCAACUGACGCUGAGGCUCGAAAGCAUGGGUAGCGAACAGGAUUAGAUACCCUGGUAGUCCAUGCCGUAAACGAUGAGCGCUAGGUGUUGG